rnacentral:rRNA from 1 species
GGGGAAUUUUGGACAAUGGGCGCAAGCCUGAUCCAGCAAUGCCGCGUGCAGGAAGAAGGCCUUCGGGUUGUAAACUGCUUUUGUACGGAACGAAAAGGCUCUGGUUAAUACCUGGGGCUCAUGACGGUACCGUAAGAAUAAGCACCGGCUAACUACGUGCCAGCAGCCGCGGUAAUACGUAGGGUGCAAGCGUUAAUCGGAAUUACUGGGCGUAAAGCGUGCGCAGGCGGUGAUGUAAGACAGGCGUGAAAUCCCCGGGCUCAACCUGGGAAUGGCGCUUGUGACUGCAUCGCUGGAGUGCGGCAGAGGGGGAUGGAAUUCCGCGUGUAGCAGUGAAAUGCGUAGAUAUGCGGAGGAACACCGAUGGCGAAGGCAAUCCCCUGGGCCUGCACUGACGCUCAUGCACGAAAGCGUGGGGAGCAAAC